rnacentral:Y_RNA from 1 species
AGCUGGUCUGAAGGUAGUGAGUUAUCACAUUGAAUGUUCACAGUCAGUUACAGAUUAAACCCCUUGUUCUACCUUUUCCCCCCUCCUCACUGCUGCAGUUGACUAGCCUUAC